CCUACGGGUGGCAGCAGUGGGGAAUAUUGCACAAUGGAGGAAACUCUGACGCAGCGACGCCGCGUGAGUGAUGAAGUUCUUCGGUUUGUAAAGUUCUUUCCUCAGGGAAGAAGAUGGUGGUAGUUGCUUAAGAAUCCGCCUCUGCGAACGACGUGCCAGCAGCCGCCGUACUACGUAGGAGGCGGUCGUUAUACGGAAUUACGGGGCGUAAGGGGGGAGUAGGUGGUUUGGCAAGUCAGUAGCGUAACGCCAAGGCUCAACCUUGGAACUACUACGAAAACUGUUGUACUGGAGUGCAGGAGGGGUAAGCGGAAUUCCUAGUGUAGCGGUGGAAUGCGUAGAUAUUAGGAGGAACACCAGUGGCGAAGGCGGGUUGCUAGACUGUAACUGACACUGAGGCACGAAAGCGUGGGGAGCAAACAGGAUUAGAUACCCGAGUAGUC
rnacentral:rRNA from 1 species